rnacentral:rRNA from 1 species
UACGUAGGUGGCAAGCGUUGUCCGGAUUUACUGGGCGGAAAGAGCGCGCAGGCGGUCGUUCAAGUCGCGUGUGAAAGCCCCCGGCUCAACUGGGGAGGGUCACGCGAUACUGAUCGACUCGAAGGCAGGAGGGGGUAGUGGAAUUCCCGGUGUAGUGGUGAAAUGCGUAGAUAUCGGGAGGAACACCAGUGGCGAAGGCGACUACCUGGCCUGUUCUUGACGCUGAGGCGCGAAAGCUAGGGGAGCAAACGGG